rnacentral:rRNA from 1 species
GUCUGCAGCCAUGCCACCCUGAACAAGCUCAAUCCCAUCUGAUCUCAGAAGCUAAGCAGGGUCGGGCCUGGUUGGUACUUGGAUGGGAGACCACCUAGGAAGACCAGGUGCUAUAGGGG